AGAGUUUGAUCAUGGCUCAGAAUGAACGCUAGCUACAGGCUUAACACAUGCAAGUCGAGGGGAAACGAUAGAGAAAGCUUGCUUUUUCUAGGCGUCGACCGGCGCACGGGUGAGUAACGCGUAUCCAACCUGCCCACCACUUGGGGAUAACCUUGCGAAAGUAAGACUAAUACCCAAUGACGUCUCUAGAAGACAUCUGAAAGGGAUUAAAGAUUUAUCGGUGAUGGAUGGGGAUGCGUCUGAUUAGCUUGUUGGCGGGGUAACGGCCCACCAAGGCAACGAUCAGUAGGGGUUCUGAGAGGAAGGUCCCCCACAUUGGAACUGAGACACGGUCCAAACUCCUACGGGAGGCAGCAGUGAGGAAUAUUGGUCAAUGGGCGAGAGCCUGAACCAGCCAAGUAGCGUGCAGGAUGACGGCCCUAUGGGUUGUAAACUGCUUUUAUAAGGGAAUAAAGUGAGCCUCGUGAGGCUUUUUGCAUGUACCUUAUGAAUAAGGACCGGCUAAUUCCGUGCCAGCAGCCGCGGUAAUACGGAAGGUCCUGGCGUUAUCCGGAUUUAUUGGGUUUAAAGGGAGCGUAGGCCGGAGAUUAAGCGUGUUGUGAAAUGUAGAUGCUCAACGUCUGCACUGCAGCGCGAACUGGUUUCCUUGAGUACGCACAAAGUGGGCGGAAUUCGUGGUGUAGCGGUGAAAUGCUUAGAUAUCACGAAGAACUCCGAUUGCGAAGGCAGCUCACUGGAGCGCAACUGACGCUGAAGCUCGAAAGUGCGGGUAUCGAACAGGAUUAGAUACCCUGGUAGUCCGCACGGUAAACGAUGGAUGCCCGCUGUUGGUCUGAAUAGGUCAGCGGCCAAGCGAAAGCAUUAAGCA
rnacentral:rRNA from 1 species